GACGAACGCUGGCGGCGUGCUUAACACAUGCAAGUCGAACGGUAAGGCCCUUCGGGGUACACGAGUGGCGAACGGGUGAGUAACGCGUGAGUAACCUGCCCUUGACUCUGGGAUAACAGAUGGAAACGUCUGCUAAUACCGGAUACUCAGCCUUGUGGGCAUCCGCAGGGUUGGAAAGCUCCGGCGGUCAAGGAUGGACUCGCGUCCUAUCAGCUAGUUGGUGGGGUAACGGCCUACCAAGGCGAAGAUCUGUAGCUGGUCUGAGAGGAUGAUCAGCCACACUGGAACUGAAACACGGUCCAGACUCCUACGGGAGGCAGCAGUGGGGAAUCUUGCGCAAUGGACGAAAGUCUGACGCAGCCACGCCGCGUGAGUGAAGAAGGCCUUCGGGUUGUAAAGCUCUGUCGGAGGGGACAAAAACCAUUAUGGUUAAUAGCCAUAGUGCUUGAUGGUACCCUUAAAGGAAGCACCGGCUAACCUCGUGCCAGCCGCCGCCGUAAUAC
rnacentral:rRNA from 1 species